rnacentral:rRNA from 1 species
CUACGGGCCGCUCCAGUUAGGAAUAAUCUACAAUGCGCGAAAGCGUGAUAGUUUGAGCCAGAGUGCUUUUCAUAUGAAAAGCUUUUGUGAAAUGUAAAAAGUUUUACGAAUAAGGACUGGGUAAGACUAGUGCCAGCCGCCGCGGUAAUACUAGCGGUCCAAGUCGCAGCCAUUUUUAUUGGGUCUAAAACAUCCGUAGCUUGCUUAUUAAGUUUCUUGUGAAAUUUUGUAUCUUAAAUAUGAAGCGUGCAAGAAGUACUGGUAAGCUAGAGACUGGAAGACGUAAGAAGUAUGUUCAAAGUAGCGGUAAAAUGUUUUAAUCUUGAGCAGACUUACAAUAGCGAAGGCAUCUUACGAGGACAGUUCUGACAGUAAGGGAUGAAGGCUAGGGGCGCAAAACGGAUUAGAUACCCCCGUAGUC